AGGAAGAAGGAGAAGAAGAGAAGGGAAGAAGGAGUUGGUGCUGGAAUUUUUUUUCUGAGUUUCUCUAGCAAGAAAGAACACUAACAAGGGGAAAAGAAGGAUUUUGAUCUAGGGUACAAGGAAUUUGAGAGAGAGAAAUGGAGAAGAAGGUGAACAGUAGCAAAAACAGGGGUUCAUUAAGGGCAGCAUGUUUCUCUUCCGUCUAGGAGGAGCUUUUGAUUAUGGUUUUAAGUGGAUGAAAGGUGAUAUUUGCUAGUUGGUAUCAUGAGGUUAGAGGUUAAUUGAAAAGAGAAUCAGGUUGAUGGUUUUUAGAGCUCUGAUUGGCUAGACUCCAUGGUUCUGGGGAAGCAAGGGAAGGAAAUCUGCAGUAGAGAAUAAGGGUGUGA